AUGGAUUGGCCGGCUCCCCCAUUCUGCACCACCACUGCUGUUCUGAUCAUUCUCAUCCUCUUGCCGUUGAGUGUGUCGGACGACCGGCUUGUCCCCGGUAAGCCGCUCUCCCCUGACUCAACCAUCGUCUCCGAUGGCGGUGCUUUCGCCUUGGGCUUCUUCUCGCCUUCCAACUCCAGCACUCCAUCCCAGCUGUACCUCGGCAUAUGGUACAACGAUGUUCCCGAGCUCACCACUGUGUGGGUGGCCAACCGAGAAACUCCGGCUACCAACACGACCACUCUGAUGCUCUCCCUCACCAACACCUCCAAUCUUGUUCUAUCCAACGGUGAUGGCGGUGGCCGUGCCAUUUGGAUGACGACCAACGUGGCUAUUGCCAUGGGUUCGUCUCCCCCUGUGGCAGUGCUUCUAAACAACGGCAACCUCGUCAUCCGGUCGUCGAACGGCACCACGUUGUGGCAGAGCUUUGACCAUCCCACCGACACGUUCCUCCCUGGUAUGAAGCUCCGGAUCCGGUACAACAAGCCUGGCACUAGUGACCGCCUGGUUUCUUGGAAGGGCCCUGGCAACCCUUCGUCGGGGCGCUUCUCCUACGGCGGCGAUCCAAUCACGUUCCUCCAAGUAAUUCUUUGGGACGGGGAGCGCCCGGUUUCCCGCAGCGGGCCAUGGACAGGGUACUUGGUGAAGAGCGAGCGCCGGUACCAGCAGGAGAACACCAGCAUGGACAUCAUCAUCUACCUGGCCGUUGUGGACAGCGAUGAGGAGAUCUACAUCACCUACAGCCUCUCCGACGGCGCCCCACACACCAGGUACGUGUUGACCUACUCCGGAGAGUACCUAGUCCAGAGUUGGAGUAGCAAAACAUCAACGUGGUUAGUCCUUGGGAAGUGGCCAUUCCCCGAAUGCAACCGCUAUGGUUAUUGUGGCACAUACGGCUACUGCGAUGAGACGGCGGCGCCAAUGCCGACGUGCAAGUGCUUUGAUGGCUUCGAGCCGGCAAACACGGUGGACUGGACCAAUGGUAGGUUUUCAGCAGGGUGUCGGCGGAAAGAGCCACUGCGAGGGUGCAACGACGGCUUCUUGGCCCUGCCGAGGAUGAAGUCUCCCGACAGAUUUUCAAUUGUGGGCGGGGGCACGAGUACGUUCGAGGAGUGUGCGGCUGAGUGCAACCGCAACUGCUCGUGCGUGGCAUACGCGUAUGCUAACCUCGGCAGCGGCAGGUCCAGGGGAGACGUGACCAGGUGCUUGGUGUGGUCUGGGGACUUGGUUGACACUGGGAAAAUAGGCGAAGAGCUUGGUAGCGACACACUCUAUCUCCGACUUGCAGGCUUGGAUGCAACAUCUGGUAAAGGAACAAAGAGGAAUGUUCUGAAGAUUGUGCUGCCAGUUCUAGGAAGCAGUUUUCUGGUAUUUGUAUGCAUUUCAUUGGCAUGGUUAAAACUCAAAGGCAAGAGAGAAAUAUGGAUAAAACACAAGAAUGUACCAUUGGAUGGUAUGAGUACCUCUUACGAACUUAGUGAAGGAAACCUUUCCCAUGACCAUGAAUUCCCAUUUGUAAGAUUUGAGGAAAUUGCCUUCGCAACGCAUAGUUUCUCUGAAACAUGUAUGAUUGGACAAGGAGGCUUUGGCAAAGUUUACAAGGGGUUGUUAGGUGGGCAAGAAGUUGCUGUCAAGAGGCUAAGUAGGGAUUCUCAACAAGGAACAAAGGAGUUUAAGAAUGAAGUAAUUCUAAUUGCCAAACUACAACACAGAAACUUGGUUCAACUUCUUGGGUGUUGUGCAGAAGGGGAUGAAAAGUUGUUGAUUUAUGAGUAUCUCCCGAACAAGAGCUUAGAUGCUACACUUUUUGAUGGUUCGAGAAAAAUGUUACUAGAUUGGGUGACACGAUUCAAUAUAAUCAAAGGGGUCGCAAGGGGGCUUCUUUACCUACACCAAGAUUCAAGACUGACCAUAAUUCAUAGGGAUCUUAAAGCUGGAAAUGUUUUGCUAGAUGCAGAGAUGAAACCCAAGAUAGCGGAUUUUGGUAUGGCAAGGAUCUUUGGAGAUAACCAACAGAAUGCGAAUACCCAACGUGUUGUCGGAACGUAUGGAUACAUGGCUCCUGAGUAUGCAAUGGAGGGUGUCUUCUCUACGAAGUCCGAUGUCUAUAGCUUUGGCGUGUUAGUAUUGGAGGUCGUAACCGGUAUAAGGAGAAAUUCCAGUAAUCAAACCAUGGGGUUCCCUAGCCUCAUAGUCUAUUCAUGGAAUAUGUGGAAGGAAGGGAAGACUGAGGAACUGCCAGACUCAUCUAUCAUGGAUACUUGUUCACUAGAUGAAGUUUUGCUUUGUAUCCACGUAGCACUGUUAUGUGUCCAAGAGAACCCAGAUGACAGGCCACUCAUGUCAUUAGUCGUGUUUAUCCUAGAGAAUGGAAGCACCACACUUCCAGCCCCCAGUCGCCCUGCCUACUUUGCGCGGCGAAGCGUUGAAAUGCUGCAAAUUGCAGAUGAUAUUCAGAACUCUGUGAAUAGUUUUACUCUGACUGAGAUACAGGGGCGAUGA
rnacentral:rRNA from 1 species